GCGGAAAUAGCUCAGUGGUAGAGCACCACCUUGCCAAGGUGGGGUCGCGGUUCGAACCCGUUUUCCGCU
rnacentral:tRNA from 1 species